rnacentral:rRNA from 1 species
UGCCAGCCGCCGCGGUAAUACGGAGGGUGCAAGCGUUGUUCGGAAUUAUUGGGCGUAAAGCGCGCGUAGGCGGCAAGGUAAGUCGGAUGUGAAAUCCCAGGGCCCAACCCUGGAACUGCAUUCGAUACUGCCUCGCUAGAGUCUCGGAGAGGAUGGCGGAAUUCCGGGUGUAGAGGUGAAAUUCGUAGAUAUCCGGAGGAACACCAGUGGCGAAGGCGGCCAUCUGGACGAUGACUGACGCUGAGGUGCGAAAGCGUGGGGAGCAAACAGGAUUAGAUA